GCCCCCGUGGCCUAAUUGGCUAAGGCGUAAGACUUCUAUCGUGUCUCCAACAAAGGUUGACUCUGGUGAUAUCUUAAGAUUGCGAGUUCGAGUCUCGCCGGGGGCU